rnacentral:lncRNA from 1 species
AAAAGAAACACUCAUUUUUACCGUACGUUUUUUUCCUUUUUUCAGAAUUAUAAGUACACUGCAUGACUAUUUUAUCUCAAGUUGCCCCCUUUAUUAUUGCCUCCAGGUAUGAUCACACAAGCUGUAGCUAAAUGCAAAAGAAUUUUUGCGAAUUCUUUCGACACGUGUUGGGAGAAACUUCACUGGCUGUCAAGUGGGCCUUGUGCUGGCCUAUGAAACUGGAUUUCAUCUGUAACGUUGGCAAAGUUUUUGGAAAUGAGAGUGUAUGCGAUCCAGGUAAAAUCAUCGCUCCGGGAUUCGGGAGUAGUUUUCAAUACAUGGAAAAGUCUGUGUACGAAUUUAAAGAGGGCUUCAGAAAAGUUCAAGUGCAAAUUCAAGUUGACAAGGCGACUAAAUUAGUUGAAGGGGUUCAAGAUGCAUACAGUGCAGCACAAGCUGUCCAACAAGAGUUUCAAGUCAAACAAAGAGUUGCAAUGUUUUCUUCAAACUGACAAACAUAAUUUUGGCCUUCUCUUUCCUCGCUGUGAUCCUUGGUGCGUCUUAAUCUUUUCAUCGUUGAUAAGUAAUUUUCAAUUUGUACUGUGUGUGAAAUUCGCGAGGGAUAAUAUGAAUUUUAAACUCGCAUACGAAAUAGAAAAAAGAGAACAAAAUGAUGAUUAUUGGCACCUCCUACACAAGUUGUAUUUUCUGAUAAUCGCAUGUAUAAUAAUGAAGGUAGCUCUAUCUUAUUCCAUCUUUUUUUUUUUUUUUUUCAG